rnacentral:lncRNA from 1 species
GCAUCAUCAUAUUUCAAUUUAGCAAAAUUUUGAUCAAAGUAGUCCUAGUGAGGAGUCAUAGAAUUUUUGAGGUUGAGACACAAUGUGGACCACUUAUCCUGGAUAGAUAGUUUAACCCAAAGUCAUCCUUGAGCAACAAGUGUCAAAGAGAUGAAUUAUACGAUAACUAUAUCCACAUGGGUUCUAGAGUGUUGCUGGGCAUACAUUCAGCCUAUCC